rnacentral:rRNA from 1 species
AGUCGAGUACGCGUUCCGUAGCAAUACGGAAUGGCGCACGGCGCACGGGUGCGUAACACGUGGGUAAUCUGCCCUUCGAUGGGGAAUAACCUCGCGAAAGCGAGGCUAAUUCCGCAUAACAUUCCGAUGGCUCCGGUCGUCGGAUUCAAAGGCGUAUGUCGUCGGAGGAGGAGCCCGCGCACGAUUAGCUAGUUGGUGAGGUAAUGGCUCACCAAGGCUAUGAUCGUUAGCUGGUCUGAGAGGAUGGCCAGCCACACUGGAACUGAGACACGGUCCAGACUCCUACGGGAGGCAGCAGUGGGGAAUCUUGCACAAUGGGCGAAAGCCUGAUGCAGCGACGCCACGUGGGGGAUGAAGCUUUUCGGAGUGUAAACCCCUUUCGACCGGGACGAAUGCCCGCAAGGGACUGACGGUACUGGUAUAAGAAGCCCCGGCUAACUACGUGCCAGCAGCCGCGGUAAGACGUAGGGGGCCAGCGUUGCUCGGAAUUACUGGGUGUAAAGGGUUCGUAGGCGGUGUGGCAAGUCGGGAGUGAAAUCUUUGGGCUCAACCCAGAGGCUGCUUCCGAAACUGCUGUGCUUGAGUGUGGGAGAGGCGCGUGGAAUUGCAGGUGUAGCGGUGAAAUGCGUAGAUAUCUGCAGGAACACCCGUGGCGAAAGCGGCGCGCUGGACCACUACUGACGCUGAGGAACGAAAGCUAGGGGAGCAAACCGGGAUUUGGAUACCCUGGUAUUCCUAACCCUAAACGAUCAGAACUUGGGGUGCCACCCGUUCGGGUGUCGUCCCGGAGCUAACGCGUUAAGUCCUGCACCUGGGGAGUACGGUCGCAAGACUGAAACUCAAAGGAAUUGAC